rnacentral:rRNA from 1 species
UAAGGAAUAUUGCGCAAUGGGGGAAACCCUGACGCAGCAACGCCGCGUGGAGGAUGACACUUUUCGGAGCGUAAACUCCUUUUAUCAGGAAAGAAUAAUGACGGUACCUGAUGAAUAAGCACCGGCUAACUCCGUGCCAGCAGCCGCGGUAAUACGGGGGGUGCAAGCGUUACUCGGAAUCACUGGGCGUAAAGGACGCGUAGGCGGAUUAUCAAGUCUUUUGUGAAAUCUAGUGGCUUAACCACUAAACUGCUUAGGGAACUGAUAGUCUAGAGUAGGGGAGAGGUAGAUGGAAUUCUUGGUGUAGGGGUAAAAUCCGUAGAGAUCAAGAAGAAUACCCAUUGCGAAAGCGAUCUGCUGGAACCUAACUGACGCUGAGGCGUGAAAGCGUGGGUAGCAAACAGG